rnacentral:tRNA from 1 species
CCCCUGUUGGUCCAGUGGUUAAAGUUCUGUGCUUCCAAAGCAGGGGGUCCAGGUUCGAUUCCUGGCCAGGGAA